rnacentral:rRNA from 1 species
UACGGAGGGUGCGAGCGUUGUCCGGAAUCACUGGGCGUCAAGGGCGCGUAGGCGGCUGGGGAAGUCGGCGGUGAAAGCCCGGAGCUCAACUCCGGGUCGGCCGUCGAGACUCCUCGGCUCGAGCUCACUAGAGGCAGAUGGAAUUCCGGGUGUAGCGGUGGAAUGCGUAGAGAUCCGGAAGAACACCGGUGGCGAAGGCGGUCUGCUGGGGUGAGGCUGACGCUGAUGCGCGACAGCGUGGGGAGCAAACAGG